UGCAACGCACGGGCAUUUGUACUAGUCUCUCCCUAAUUUCUUUCUAAUUAAUUAAUAAUAAAAUACAGAUUGACUCCGUGGGUUUACCGUCACAAUACGCUUCUUCUCGUAAGUUUACAUUUUCACUUUGAAUUUAAAACAUGUCGGGUUCACCGUCGCGCCCUUUUACACAAAGAUCCCUGUGGUUUUUGUCAUUGAACCCGCAGUCUAAUACGAACCGGUACGCCCGAGAGAAAGGAAAGAAAAUCACCCCCUCCCACCGCACGCCCUGCCUCCCAAUCUCCACGCCCCUCACCGCGCGCCGCCACCGCCCACCCUGCCACCUUCUGGAUCGGAUCAACGCGGCGGCUCGAGCGGUUGGGCGCCUCGCCGGUGACGACGAGGAAGGCCGGAGCUAGGGAUCCGGCGACCUAGGCAGGAGCUCGCCGGAGCUGGGCGACGGCGGACGGGCGCGACGGACGGAUCUGGCGCGGCGGCGCAAAUUCCUUGCAGGUAGAGGCGGGUCUCCAUGGCUUGCAGGGAGAGCUCCAAGCUACAAUUUUAAGUAAGAUUCAAGCAACGCAAGGAAAGGAUCAUGUCAUGUCGUAGCGGUGCGCAGCCAGCGCAUAGCGUGAUUGCUGCGAACUCCACAUUUCGCCACUGACGCCAGUUGCCACCUGAUCAACCAACACUCGCCCCAUCUGGCACCGCACCGUCGAGAUGGACAUCCCCGUCCUCACAUUCGAUGCCGCAUGCAGGGCAAGAAGGGAUUCUUUGCAAUUACGGUCAUAGCCUUUGUCAUCGACAUUGGCGGGAUUUGCCCAGGCUGUCGGUGCCCGAAGGUGAAUGCUCUCGCCAAUCAACAGUAAGCCCAUCUGGUCUCGCAUCUCCGUCACCAUGGCUAGCCACUAGCACAGACCAUGAUGUUACAGCAUUCAGCGGUGUGGAUGGAGAGUCUUUUACAAUGACAUUUCUUCUAAUUUGAGCGAUGAAUGCAGACCAUGGCCGUCCGAAACAUCGUGAGACACGGCAGUGGGGCAGCUAAUGCUCAUUGACGCUAACUAAAAUAUAUGUUAAUUCUCAGUCACUGAGGUUAACAGAGUACAAUUUCUGCUCACAUUAUGUUAUCCCUUCAUGGUCUGUCAUUAAUGAAUAUUUUUCCAUUUCAUUACAUAAUCUUUGACCACGAUGCAUUCUACUAUCACAACUAGACCACUGGUGCUUCAGUUUUUUUUAUCAAGGCAAUUCAGUUAUUGUAAUGCACAACAGCACAAACGGGUGAGUUUACAUAGAGAUAUGUAAGGUUCAGCUACCCGCAUAAAAAAAUGAAAGGUUCAGCUGUGGAGCUAAAAGAUUGGAGUUGUAGGGAAUAACUAACGACGGAGGCCCUCAAGUCUAGCUCAAUAAGACAAGUUUUAGUUAACCUUAAGAAUUCUCAAAACCACGGGAGAAGAGGAGCUGCAGAUCAGGGUGUAUGUGAUAUCCCUACAAGAUUGCUUCAACAUUCAUGCAGCUACGCUUCUUGCAGCUUUUUACAGAAUGGCAGGCAAUGCAAUUACAUGUUUGUGAUGCUUUGUUCCUACCGUGUUUUCACUUUCAUCUCAGUAGAGAUUCAAAAUCAAAACAAUGUCAUUCAUGUUUUCACUGAAAUUACAAAUCACUCCCUGACCCAUUCAUGUAUGUUUGUAUCCGCAAGCUAGCAUGCUUCUGCCAGCAGAUGGGCUCCAUGGCACUACAUCUAUAUUAUAUUGGAAUGAUGUAUUGACCGAUUCGUAGAUGGUUUGUGGUAUAAUCAUAUAAAGAGUGUCGCAUCACUUUUCUAGCUCUAUGCUCUCUUGUAUACAGGGGGUCACUGGUCCUCAGUCUAAUGUACAAAAAGUUAGUUUACCAUAAUUCAAUGACAGUACAUAUUUACCGUUGUUUAUUGCAUAUGAUAUUUCUCAAUUACAUUUCUCAACGUGAUAUUUGCAGGUUAAUUAUUACCCAACCGACCUACUUUUGUUGUAUUUUUUUAUUCACUUUGUUCAGAUUUAUUUAAUGUCCAAUGCUAUAUUAUGUGCAUCUCUUAACCAAACAGACAUGAUGGUCAAUGCGCUGAACUUGCAUGAAAAUCCAUGGCUUUUCGGUCUAUCCUUUGUAGAUGCUGCUAUGUUUAGCGGCAUUCUCCUAAUGAUCUUUUCCGACAUGUCCAUGUGCAGGCUGUUUGAUGCAUGCAUUGCUAUGAGCUAAGGAUUGACAAAAUACCAGUAGCAUACUGCAACGUCUCAUUAGCUCUUCCCAAAUUAUCCUAUAGACUUAAAUGAUUGCUAGCGUUGUAUCAUUAUCAGUCUGAAGAUUGUUUGUUUUGUUUUGUUUUGUUUUGUUUACUCAAGAUGAAUAGAGUUAAUGUUGUUGACCGAUUGAUUUUCCUCCUGGUAAAUCCGUUGAUUUUCCUCCUGGUAAAUCCAUGACUAAUUCUAUCACAAUCUUUUCUUCAUUAUUUUUAUCUAAUGUUCCCUUGCAGUGAAAUUCUUAGUAUCUCCGGUGUGUCUGAUGUCGACAAAUCUGUCUCCUUUAAAGGAUGCCAUUGGUGCUUGAAGUUAAAUGGAACAAGCUCAAUCUUAACUUUUUCAUAUGUGGGGAACAUAUCUUCUAUUAAGGACGUGUGCUCAAUAAAUCACUCCAUGGAACAAGAAAGUACAGGUUAGAUCUUGUGCCUUUCGUUCUGAUAUUAAUUGUCCCCUUUUCUUUUCGGGCUGAUAAUAUAGCUAAUAUGUUCUACCUUGAACUAAAUACUGUUUCAGAUCUUACGUUCUUCAAUAAAUUAUCAACAUGGUAAUGACAUGUUACUUAUAUACUACAGCUUCGAAAACAUGUUCUUUUAAGUACAUCUGGUAUAUUUUAAAUCAUUAGGAAAUGAAUUGAUCCAAAAUGCAUAGUGCAUCUUUUUAGUUCGGUAAUUUUGGAUGUUAGGUGGCAUAAGUAGUGCCCCUGUUAGUUUGUCGGGUUAAGUGAAAUUUUUUGUGAUGCUUCCCAUAGUUCUUUGCCUUCAUGAAACAACAUAUGGGUGAGGCAAUAUAUUUUCCUGUCUAUAUAUCGGCGUCUCUAUUUUUAAAAAUUGGCAUUGAGGAUCCCUUUUACAUGUUUUUUCUACACCCUGCUGGGAGCUGAAUUGCCUUUCCUAUAUAUGAACCGAUGGCAAGACAUUCAAAGCACGGUUCCUCGCAUCUGAGCGACAGUUUUUAUGCCCUAUGCCCUUGUCCGUCUCACAUAUCUACCUCAUAUCUACAGGAAAAUAUAUCUUUUCUUUCUAGUGCUAAGGCAAUCUAUCUACACGUAAUCUAUGGAUUCUUUGUAGUUCAAAUGGACUAAUCUAUAUAUUAUUUAUGCAGUACUGUUUAUUCAGUUAAAGGUGCCCUUUUCUAGAGAGUGAAAACGGGUGUAGGGCAGGCUAUAUGGGUAGACCACCAAAAUAGUUAUGUAGUUGUAGUUGGCUAGCAAUAGCUUAUAUCCCUAAUUAUAUUCGAUUUUCUGGUUGUACGCAAUUUGCUUUCCUCGUAGGCAGAAGUAAUGGCUGAGCUAAGUUAACGGCUACAUGUUCCAGAACAAAUUGGAUCUGCAUUGUGUAGAUCGAUUGAUGAUAUUUAUCCUACUUUUAGAGAAAGGACUAAGCCCAACUUUUAAUACAAAGCUUUGAAAUAUUCUGAUAUUGCUGGGCCAGAAGCGAACAAGUGGCAUGCAUGGUGAACUGUCGCAAACUUCAGAAGAUGGUAAGGUUGCAUAUGGCUGGAGCAACCUUCUCUUCAAAUUCUCGGAAUUAUUUACCCUUUUUCUCUGUAGUUUCUAUCUUCAAAUUCUCUUAAUUAUUCUUCACCCAUUUUUUCCCAUGCAGUUUCCAUCCUUUUGAAAGCUCCUUUUGUUCUGUAUGAGCCUAACCUGAAAAUAUAUACGGUUAUAUAUUGUCAGUAUUUUCCUUUUCCAUGCCUCAUGGUUAUUCGCCUCUGUUAGCUAGAUGAAUGUGCUUCAGUUAUAGGAAUUGCAUGCCUUCUACGAUUAUAUUGUUGUUAUUGGCUUGCGAAACAUGCAUAAGACUGUACCUAUGGAUAAAAAUUACCCUACAAACUCCAACAUUGAAAAUACAGACUGGCUGGCAUGAAAGUUUGAGAAAUGCAGCAAGUGAAUGACUUUGAUUUGCACAUUCGAGUGCAUGAUAUAGUAGAGCUGGAGGUGUACCAGCUGUAUGAGGGAUAUCAGGUGUCCUCUACUGCAUGUGAGGCUGUUUAUUUCCUUCAUGUCAUUCAACUUUGUCACCGGGGCCUCUUACGCCUACUCACUAGUUUUAGGAAUUCAAGUCUUCAACAUGAAAAAAAUCGGAUGCACACUGUGGACAAUCAUGGAGAGCUGAUAUAGAUGACGGUUCAUAACAGUUACUAUUAUUAUCCUAUUUUGCCAUAUUUUACAUUCUCAUAUAAUUUUGUGUGUGAGCCGGUAAAGAAAAUAGACCAAGAUCUACCAGUCACUCAUACAGAUGCUUCGCUAUUUGAGAACCACUCGACCAAGCAUUCAGCUUAAUUUUGUUCUUAGAUCUAUUUGUCAUUUGAUGAGUGACUUGGAAGUCUUUAGGCUAUCCAUGGCAAGCAAACCGGCACAUAUAUCAUGUUGAUUCCAUGGUAUUUUUAUAACAGCAUUUAGGUGGACCUCUAACUUAUACUCCCUCCGUUCCUAAAUACUUGUCUUUCUAGGCAUUUCAACAAGUGACUACAUACGGAGCAAAGUGAGUGAAUGUACACUCUAAAAUAUGUCUACAUACAUCCGUAUGUAGUAGUCAUUUGAAAUGUCUAGAAAGACAAAUAUUUAGGAACGGAGGGAGUACUUUGUAAUAUGCUCAACAUGUACAUGCAUGAAUAUGUAUUUGGGUGGCCGUCUUGAUGUCCCUGGGGCCUUGAGAUCCUUGCCGCCCCCACAUUGAAAGACAGGCACAUCUGCUCCACGCGUCCAUCGCAAACGACGACUGCAGCAGCAGCUCCGUGUUAGAUACAUCCGUAUCUAAAUAAAUUUAAGACAAGAAUUUUGAGACGGAGGGAGUACUAGGAUCUUAUUUACACCAACUCUACAUGUUUAUAAACAAAGGAAACUGCUUUGUUCAUAACUUUACACCAACCUAUUGGCAUGUAUAUUAGCAGCAAUGUAACUUAAAUGAACAACUCUAGCAUGUUAAUUAAAAUUCCUUGCACAAUACUUCUCAGUUUCUCAGGUUUAAGAACAAUCUAUAGCACAUUUAAUCUCUUCAGUUAGUAGUCGUGCUUUCCUAUUUAGAUAUUUAUUUUGUGAUCUUGACCUUUACUCCACAUUAAUAUAACCUGAUUUUAAAAUAUAUUUUUAAAGUUGAUUAUAAAUUAUUUUGUUGGAUAGUAUAUCAUCUUCAUUCCAUUGGAUUACAUUACCAUCCCCCGGUUACAUGAAUAAGCAAAUGUAGCUAUGUCUAAGAUUCCAGAUUCGGAUUGCAAGGUCCUUUUAGAAUCUGCAAAGUAAUUUAUUUUAUCACUUUGUUCUAUCAACUUUGGUAAUCGCUUACUAUUCAUCUGCAGGUGAACUUGCCUAUUUUUAGAAAAGUCACUUUAUUGUGAAGUUUGAUUAUUCUUCUAUUUGGGGUUGGCCUAAUAGUCGGUUGUCCAUAUAAUGUCACAUGUACAUUAUUUGUCGGAUAUUAUAUGGUUCCAGUUCUCACAAACUUCUCAAUAGCUUGCAGAUGAUUGAUUGAAUGCUUUUUUCUGAUUAUUGCACAUCAUCAGUUACGUAUCAAAAGGCUGAAGUGCCCUUUGAUCAAUCUAACGUAAAUAAGAUUUGUAUGAGCUGCAUGUAAUAGUAACAUAGAAAUUAUGACCGAUGGGAGACAAAAAGAGGGCUGUUGUAAUGGUAAAGAAGUCAAAAUGACCGUUGUUGAACCUAGCAUGUCUACAAAUAAGCAUAUGGCGAUGGACAUAACUUUCUUAUUUGCAACGGCACUGUCCACUGUUUUCUUCAUAAAAGUUUAUCAUUUGGUCUAUCAGUGUGUUAUAUAUUUGCUUGGUUGUGUCCAGUAUAAGGGUUAGUUGUUGAUAAAUGAUAAGGGGUUGGUUUAUAACUAUUUAAUAUAAGAAAAGAACAUGAUGAAGCCAUGCUUGUGCAUCACUAAUAACAUUCAUUCUGGUCAAGUUAGGAAGAAUAAUAUCUGGGACAAUAUUUCUGGGAGUACAACCGAGGAGAAGGAUUGAGGACGGAGAUUUCAUUUGUGAUGAGCCAAAAGUAGAACGAUAGAUGGAAAAGAGACAACAUGUUUUUUCACGUGCGACAACCCAGAGUUGAACUUACACAUGAACGGAGGGUUAGG